rnacentral:rRNA from 1 species
GCCGAUGACUGAUUAGCUGGUUGGCGGGGUAACGGCCCACCAAGGCGACGAUCGGUAGCUGGUCUGAGAGGACGACCAGCCACACUGGAACUGAGACACGGUCCAGACUCCUACGGGAGGCAGCAGUGGGGAAUUUUGGACAAUGGGGGCAACCCUGAUCCAGCCAUGCCGCGUGCAGGAUGAAGGCCUUCGGGUUGUAAACUGCUUUUGUCAGGGACGAAAAGGACCGUGUUAAUACCAUGGUCUGCUGACGGUACCUGAAGAAUAAGCACCGGCUAACUACGUGCCAGCAGCCGCGGUAAUACGUAGGGUGCAAGCGUUAAUCGGAAUUACUGGGCGUAAAGCGUGCGCAGGCGGUUCUGUAAGACAGAUGUGAAAUCCCCGGGCUCAACCUGGGAAUUGCAUUUGUGACUGCAGGACUAGAGUUCAUCAGAGGGGGGUGGAAUUCCAAGUGUAGCAGUGAAAUGCGUAGAUAUUUGGAAGAACACCAAUGGCGAAGGCAGCCCCCUGGGAUGCGACUGACGCUCAUGCACGAAAGCGUGGGGAGCAAACAGGAUUAGAUACCCUGGUAGUCCACGCCCUAAACGAUGUCUACUGGUUGUUGGGGUUUUUUAACCUUGGUAACGAAGCUAACGCGUGAAGUAGACCGCCUGGGGAGUACGGUCGCAAGAUUAAAACUCAAAGGAAUUGACGGGGACCCGCACAAGCGGUGGAUGAUGUGGAUUAAUUCGAUGCAACGCGAAAAACCUUACCUAGCCUUGACA